rnacentral:rRNA from 1 species
GACGAACGCUGGCGGCGUGCUUAACACAUGCAAGUCGAACGGAAAGACCCUGCUUUUGUGGGGUGCUCGAGUGGCGAACGGGUGAGUAACACGUGAGUAACCUGCCCUUGACUUUGGGAUAACUUCAGGAAACUGGGGCUAAUACCGGAUAGGAGCUCCUGCUGCAUGGUGGGGGUUGGAAAGUUUCGGCGGUCGGGGAUGGACUCGCGGCUUAUCAGCUUGUUGGUGGGGUAGUGGCUUACCAAGGCUUUGACGGGUAGCCGGCCUGAGAGGGUGACCGGCCACAUUGGGACUGAGAUACGGCCCAGACUCCUACGGGAGGCAGAAGUGGGGAAUAUUGCACAAUGGGCGGAAGCCUGAUGCAGCAACGCCGCGUGCGGGAUGACGGCCUUCGGGUUGUAAACCGCUUUCGCCUGUGACGAAGCGUGAGUGACGGUAAUGGGUAAAGAAGCACCGGCUAACUACGUG